rnacentral:rRNA from 1 species
GACGAACGCUGGCGGCGUGCCUAAUACAUGCAAGUAGAACGCUGAAGAGAGGAGCUUGCUCUUCUUGGAUGAGUUGCGAACGGGUGAGUAACGCGUAGGUAACCUGCCUUGUAGCGGGGGAUAACUAUUGGAAACGAUAGCUAAUACCGCAUAACAAUGGAUGACACAUGUCAUUUAUUUGAAAGGGGCAAUUGCUCCACUACAAGAUGGACCUGCGUUGUAUUAGCUAGUAGGUGAGGUAAUGGCUCACCUAGGCGACGAUACAUAGCCGACCUGAGAGGGUGAUCGGCCACACUGGGACUGAGACACGGCCCAGACUCCUACGGGAGGCAGCAGUAGGGAAUCUUCGGCAAUGGGGGCAACCCUGACCGAGCAACGCCGCGUGAGUGAAGAAGGGUUUCGGAUCGUAAAGCUCUGUCGUAAGUCAAGAACGGGUGUGAGAGUGGAAAGUUCACACUGUGACGGUAGCUUACCAGAAAGGGACGGCUAACUACGUG